rnacentral:pre_miRNA from 1 species
GGAUAAAAUACUAGGGGAUCUUGUUAAAAUGCUGAUUCUGACUCAGUGGUUCUGGGUGGGACCAGAGAGUCUACAUUUCUAACAAGUUCCCAGGUGCUACUGUU